UUAACCUUUUAAAGAUUUGUCCAGAGAGGCAAAAAAGGGGAUAUAUGAGUUUGAGCCUAUAUUAUAAGUUCAGCUUAUACCUCCUGUUGCCUCGCGUUAUGCGAGGCAUUUUUUAUA
rfam:Lysinibacillus manganicus DSM 26584 contig1, whole genome shotgun sequence.